UGCACUAUCUGCGGAUGCAGUGAUGAAGAUGAGUUUCAUGCUGUUGUGGAGUGCACAAAAAGCAGAGCAUUACGAGAUGCACUCAGAGAAAGUUGGGAGAUACCUCCAGAGCAUGCAUUCCGGCGUACUGGCCCUGAUUGGCUUCAGUUGUUGUUGAGUUCUGAAACUGAAGAAAUGAGAGCGAGGGUACUUAUGUUAUUUUGGAGGUGCUGGCACCUUCGCGAUGACGUGGUGCAUGGAAAAGGAAAGGAACCUAUCAAACAAUCAGUCAUGUUCCUGCUGCAGUACGAGGAAGACCUGAGAAAUGCAGCGAUUAACUCUCUGUCUGACCUGGGAAAGGGGCCUGUGAGCUGUGACCAUGGCUGUAGAGAAUGA
rnacentral:rRNA from 1 species